rnacentral:precursor_RNA from 1 species
GGUACGAGUUUCUAGUGUCUAUAAAUUAAGAAGGUUAAGUACCAUAUAGAUGAUAUUUGUUAAGUAGUAAGUCACUCAAAGUUUGAGUUUGGGUUUGAGUUUGAGUUUGAGUUUGAGUUUGAGAGACAAAAGAUUACUACAAGAAGAUUGUUAAACAAAAAUGGAAGACUAAUUUCCGGAGCCACGGUCGUUGUUGGCUGCUGUGGCAUCAUCAAGAUUCACAUCUGUUGAUGGACGGUGGUGAUUCACUCUCCACAAAGUUCUCUAUGAAAAUGAGAAUCUUGAUGAUGCUGCAUCGGCAAUCAACGACUAUUCUUUCCCUCUCUCUCUCUCUCCCUCUGUAUAGAUUAUUUGGAUUCCAUCCAGAUCUUCUUCAGGUAGGUUUGUUUCUACUUGAAGUUUUUUUU